rnacentral:rRNA from 1 species
UACGUAGGGUGCAAGCGUUGUCCGGAAUUAUUGGGCGUAAAGAGCUCGUAGGCGGUUUGUUGCGUCGGCUGUGAAAUCCCGAGGCUCAACUGUGGGAUUGCAGCCGAUACGGGCGGGCUAGAGUUCGGUAGGGGAGACUGGAAUUCCUGGUGUAGCGGUGAAAUGCGCAGAUAUCAGGAGGAACACCGGUGGCGAAGGCGGGUCUCUGGGCAGCUACUGACGCUGAGGAGCGAAAGCGUGGGUAGCGAACAGG